rnacentral:rRNA from 1 species
CGUAGUGUGCAAGCGUUAAUCGUAAUUACUGGGCGUAAAGCGUGCGCAGGCGGCUUUGUAAGUCUGACGUGAAAUCCCCGGGCUCAACCUGGGAAUUGCGUUGGAGACUGCAAGGCUGGAGUCUGGCAGAGGGGGGUAGAAUUCCACGUGUAGCAGUGAAAUGCGUAGAGAUGUGGAGGAACACCGAUGGCGAAGGCAGCCCCCUGGGUUAACACUGACGCUCAGGCACGAAAGCGUGGGGAGCAAACAGG